GAGUUUUGUCCACGGGAGUGUAUUUUAUUUAGCUCCUACCCUCUGUACCUCAUCAACUAAGAGACCUAGGUGUCAUUCAAGGACAGCGAGUGUCAACCCAUCCGCUACGGGGAGACGCGCCUGGUAGCAGUUUCUCCUCUGCUGCAGAACAUUGUGAAUCA